CCCCGGAGAUUGCUCGAUUGGCGAACGGAAAGUAUCCGAAAAUAAAAUCAAGAAUAGACAGUGCCAAUGCUGUGCUCUGUGGUCCAUUACUGAGCACAAAGUUCUGUGCAUGGAAUAUGUGCACACAUAUACAUAUGAACAUUUGUGUGCCUUUGUAUACCGCUGUGUGUUUAUGAAUUUUCGAUUAAUCAACGCUUGACUUUCAUUUGCUGCGCUCCGCUCUGAGUUGUGAUGACAUAUCUGACAGGAUGAAAGAUUGUGCGAUGGGACGACGGCUGUUGCAGAGUUUCGACAAUUUUAUUUAUGAUAAUUUGCAUGUUCAACAAAGGUCGUGAAAUAAAUAGGGACAACAAAUCA